UACGUAGGUGGCAAGCGUUACUCGGAAUCACUAGGCGUAAAGCGCAGGUAGGCGGUUGGAUAAGGUUCUUGUGAAAGCUCCUGGCUUAACUGGGAGAGGUCAAGGAAUACUGUCUGACUUGAGUGUGGUAGGGGUAACUGGAAUUCCCGGUGUAGCGGUGAAAUGCGUAGAUAUCGGGAGGAAUCCCUAUGGCGAAGGCAGGUUACUGGGCCAUCACUGACGCUGAGCUGCGAAAGCUAGGGGAGCAAACAGG
rnacentral:rRNA from 1 species